rnacentral:rRNA from 1 species
CCUACGGGAGGCAGCAGUAAGGAAUAUUGGUCAAUGGAGGCAACUCUGAACCAGCCAUGCCGCGUGCAGGAUGACGGCCCUAUGGGUUGUAAACUGCUUUUAUACAAGAGAAAACCCUGGUACGUGUACCAGGUUGAUAGUAUUGUAAGAAUAAGCAUCGGCUAACUUCGUGCCAGCAGCCGCGGUAAGACGAAGGAUGCAAGCGUUAUCCGGAUUCAUUGGGUUUAAAGGGUGCGUAGGCGGACUGAUAAGUCAGUGGUGAAAUCUCUUUGCUUAACAAAGAACUGCCAUUGAUACUGUCGGUCUAGAGUAUAGAUGACGUUGGCGGAAUAUGACAUGUAGUGGUGAAAUACUUAGAUAUGUCAUAGAACACCGAUUGCGAAGGCAGCUAACGAAACUAUAACUGACGCUGAGGCACGAAAGUGCGGGGAUCAAACAGGAUUAGAUACCCUGGUAGUCCGCACCGUAAACGAUGAUUACUCGUUGUUGGUCGAUAUGACAGUCAGCGACCAAGCGAAAGCGANAAGUAAUCCACCUUGGGGAGUACGCGGCAACGGUUGAACUUAAGNUUAGUUGCGNGNGAGNGCGACGACGGACGACGAGGAGGAGGAG